UCAUGAAAUGCAAAUAUCAGAGUGGUAGGAAGUGUAUGGGGGAGGUGCCCCCAGCAGAAAACACUUGGUUGAAAAGUUGAUCACUGUGCCUUGGUGUGAAGGGCAUGAAGAUGACAGACGAAGAGACAUAAGGUCUGAUGAAAUUCAGAGGCAGUUCAUUCCAAAGAUCCAAGGACAGACAGAAAUGUGACAGCAGACACGUGGCAGCAGGCUAAGUGGGUGGAAUGAAGAGACACGUCUUUGUUUAAAGUUCAUUUGAGACUGGUGUCAGUAGAACAGCAGCGAGAGGGAAGGCGGAAAAACGUUGGCAGGAAAAGCGCUGAUCUUCACAUCACCCGUGGGGGAGCCUGCUGCAAAUCCAAACAUGUCCUUCAAAACUCACAUGCACAACUCUUUGUUUCUGCAGACAGCUCUGCAUGUUGGAGAAAACCGUGAUCGAGGUGCCAUGCUGCAAGCAAUGAUCUGGCCCUCACCAGAUGCCAACCUACCAGCACCUUCAUCUUGGACUUCCAGCCUCCAGAACCAUGAGAAAUCAAUUUCUAUUAUCCAUAAAUUACCCAGUCAAUGGGAUUUUCUUAUAACACCAGAAAUGAAUUAAGACAGCCCCAGAAGUUCCUAUAAGUCCAUAAAGAAUCCAGAACUUACUUUUUGAGCCUCGGUUUAUUCAUCUGCAAAAUGGGAGACAUUAGCCUCUACAGGAAAUGUAGGGCUUUUUUCUCUUCUCACUUCUCUCCUCAGCCUGCAGUCCUGGCAGUCAGCCUGCAGGCAGGCAGAACUGCUGGCCUAUGGUGCUUGCAAUAGGUUGGGUUAGGUUGACAAGGGUGGUGUGUCCUUACCUCUCUCCGUGGAGACAGUACUCAUGUUUUUCUUUGCUCUGGGCCCUCGGGACCACUGUAAGCUCUUCUCUCCUUCUGAGCUCACUGCCAGCUGCAGACCGCUCUCUUCUCCUUACCUCCUCCCUGUGCAUACUCACCAUCCCCUUCCUGUGCUCUCAGUCACUUGCUCAGGCUAACCACCCUUGGUCACCACGAGAAAGUAACUCUGAGGCAUGAGUCUGUUGUCAACUCUCAGAGAAGCAUCUCAGUGCUGUCCUCCCUCCCCGUGCUGUGCACUAACUAGUUCCCUCCAGGCCUCCUCCAGCAGCUCUUUCAAGCCCCAGACACCCCUUCUUUCCACCUGUUCCUCGUUGAUCCCCCACCCUCAUCAUGAUCCAUUCCCAGCAAGCUCACAAAGACACUGGUGAGUAC
rnacentral:lncRNA from 1 species